CUUCUCUCCAAACACCAGAUACUAACAAGGUUAGUCAGAGGCUUCUUUAGAUUGGUGCAAGACUGACUGCUACUGGAAAUCCCCCCUGCUCAGAAACUGCAGAUCUACAGGGACUUUUAUGAACAACCAUGAGUCAUAUUUGUAUCGAAAGGUAAGAAAAAGGAGAAUAUGCAGUGAACAGUGGCUGUAUAGAUAAAUAUGUCUUGUUGAAAUCAGAGGAAAAUGGGAAUACUGGUUCAACAUAACAAAAAGGCAGCAGUAGUACUUUACACUUUACCAGGACUGCCAGUAAUUUUAGGGAAUACUGGUUUUGGGUUUGUUUAAAAUGCCUAAAGAUAAUCCUGUCAGCAACAAAAAAACCACAAACACGUUCAAUUUAUGUAAAACAUGUUGCGGAAAUCGAGAUAUGAGGAAAGAUGAGAACACACUUCUCUAAAACACAGACAAUAUUGAAACUGGGAAAUCUGAAGGCAAUCUCUGUAACUGUGAAGUCACUCUACAAACCAGCAGGAUGCCUUUCGGUUGGGAAACAUUUUAAAAACAACAUGUGGCAUAAAUAUGCCACAUGAAAUGAGGCUUGAGUGGCUUCAGAAGCAGAAUUAAUGACUUUACUUCUGCCUCUUGAAACCCAGAUAGUUUUCUACAGAGAAAUUAAUUAACAAACUCUUAUUCCGAUAAUCAGCCUCCAUUAGGGACAGACUUGUGGUUUCUCCCUGAUGCCUUUUUAAACAUCCCUCUGUGAUCCUCAGAGCCAUGAGCGCUUUGGUUGCCCUUCAGUACGUUUGGAUGGAGAAGAUAAUGAAC